AGAGUUUGAUCCUGGCUCAGGACGAACGCUGGCGGCGUGCCUAAUACAUGCAAGUCGAGCGAACAGAAAGGAGCUUGCUCCUUUGACGUUAGCGGCGGACGGGUGAGUAACACGUGGGCAACCUACCCUAUAGUUUGGGAUAACUCCGGGAAACCGGGGCUAAUACCGAAUAACCUCUUUACUUCAUGGUGAAAGACUGAAAGACGGUUUCGGCUGUCGCUAUAGGAUGGGCCCGCGGCGCAUUAGCUAGUUGGUGAGGUAACGGCUCACCAAGGCGACGAUGCGUAGCCGACCUGAGAGGGCGACCGGCCACACUGGGACUGAGACACGGCCCAGACUCCUACGGGAGGCAGCAGUAGGGAAUCUUCCACAAUGGGCGAAAGCCUGAUGGAGCAACGCCGCGUGAGUGAAGAAGGUUUUCGGAUCGUAAAACUCUGUUGUAAGGGAAGAACAAGUACAGUAGUAACUGGCUGUACCUUGACGGUACCUUAUUAGAAAGCCACGGCUAACUACGCG
rnacentral:rRNA from 1 species